AGAGUUUGAUCAUGGCUCAGGACGAACGCUGGCGGCGUGCUUAACACAUGCAAGUCGAGCGGAAAGGCCCUUCGGGGUACUCGAGCGGCGAACGGGUGAGUAACACGUGAGCAAUCUGCCCCUAGCUCUGGGAUAGCUCCGGGAAACCGGAAUUAAUACCGGAUAUGACCUUAACUGACAUCGGUUCGGGUGGAAAGUUU
rnacentral:rRNA from 1 species